UAAGGUGGUUUCAAUAGAUGAGCAGAAUUGGCAGGCUCAUCCCCAGGGGGUGACAAGACUGAGUCAGGCACCUUUUCGCUGCCCCAGAACGAGUGUCUCCAGCCCAUAGAACAUGGGCCAGUGGCUGGGGGUUAUGUGGGGAGGCAGUGAGGGAAGAACAAGGAAUAGGAAAAGGUGCAGGGCUCACAGUCCACUCCCCUUGGACCAGAGUAGAAGAGAUAGGAACUUUACCUCGUGCUGGGCCCCACAUUAGGAGCAUUAACUUAAAACCUCCCUUUUAAACCUCAUCAUGCCCAGGAAAUGAACACUAUUGCUUUUGCUUUACAGAUGAUGCAAGACAAAGGCUGUAUGAGUACAAAUGAGUACCAUGUCAUAGCUACUAUGUCAUAGAACAAGGAUUCUAGACCAGCCCUGCCUGAUACUAAACUCAUGCUCUGUUUUCAAGUAUGAGUGGGUUAUUUUUGAGCUUUUGCUUCUCUUCUUCUUUGCUUCUGAUGCUUGAUUUUUAGUUAUUUUAUGGAAAAUGGAAAAAUUCCUCAAAGGGUGUAUAAGGGAGGAGGAGCUCUCCUUGAUGGCAUAUAUGGCUUUUUCUCCUGUUUGCUUCUGAACCCCCGCAAGUGGGUUGCAAAAUACAGAGAUCCUCCAAAUGCUUUUUGAAAGAAUUAAUGAGAGAGCAACUCAUGAGACGCCCGCCGUUCGGAGGAGGUUGCCCUGGUAGGCAAGAGUUCUAAGACCCAUUAGCUCCAGGACAAGAAAAACAUGGCAGGAACACUGUCGGGAAGCAUCCUCAUCUUAACCUUUGUACUAGUUAAUAAAUGGUCAGCAGUUUUUUUUUUUUUUCUGUGUACUUGCCUUUUCUACUAGAAGGUUAAAAAAAUUCUAAGCAGGCAACGUGGAUAAACCUUAAAAAAAUUUUUUUAGGUUUUUAUUAUUUUUUAAUGUUAACUGCUUUGCUGUUUGUCUUUGAAAUCUGGUUUUACUAAUUAGAACUCUUUUCGUUGCCAGUAAGGGAAACUCAUCAGAGGCAGUGGGAAUUUUGAAAUGGGGAUUUUGACAAGCACAUGGGAGGGUCUCAUGGAUUUUAGGGAAGGAUAACAGGUUGACCUUACAGGCUACAAAACAAAGCAAACAAGCCCCCAGCCCAACCAACAAUCCACAGCGUAUCUGGGGUUUGGGUCAUGUAGUAUGAACAGGACUGUUUGCACCUGUGUGUGUAGGCAGUUUUUAGGAAAAUGAAUGCUGGACGCACAGUCCACUGUGUGUCUCUACAGCGAUUGUACCACGGGCAUGUGAUUGUUUCUUUGUCUUCACUUGAGCUACUGUUGAUGGUUUUGUAAUCAUUAGUGCUAAUAUUGCUGGAGAAAAAAAAUUAAUUAAGAUGUCUAUUGUUCUGUUGCAGUAAUUUCUGUUUGUAGGGCUCAUUAACAUCUUUGCUCAGAAGAUG
rnacentral:lncRNA from 1 species